ensembl:lncRNA
GGGCUAUCCUGUGUUUCCUUUAUGCCUUAUGCAUUUAAGCUAUUUUUUUCUGAAUGUACAAACCUUGCACUUCCUUCAUCAAUAUCACCAGGGCUCUUCUAUUAGAUCUGAUCUUAUUAGAUCAAAAUUUAAAUAUAGGAUAGAAAACCUAGUAUUUCUAGCAAGCUCUAGAAAUGCCGAUCAUCCCAUAUGAACAUUAAUGAUUGAUACUAUUUUUUUGGCCAUGCCUGUGGUGUGUGGAAGUUCCCUGGUCAGGGAUCAAAGCUACAGCAGCGACCAGAGCUAUGGCAAUGACAACACUGGAUCCUUAACCCACUCUGCCACAAGGGAACUCCCAAUGAUUGAGACUAUUGCUUUAAGAAAAUAUUUUGCAAAUAUAAAUGAUUAAGGAAAGGGCUGGAAGAAUAAGAAAUAGAGUGGCCAAACUACUCCUGAAGAAAGAGUUUUAACUAAAGAAACACCCCCCCCCGCCCCCAUCACUGAGGAGGCAGCUACAUGCCUGACAGCAGCUUUGCUCGCCCCAUACCACCCUUCUUGUAAUGUUAUAGCAACUAUGUACCUUAUGUCCUUGCUAGCAGCCCUGCUAACCCUGCUCCAAGCAUUGUUUAUCAGUUUCACUUUUGUAAUCUUAUUUGCUCAGCUUCUUAGGCAGGAACUCUGCCUCUCGGGAAGGGGGAGGGCUGGGUCUGCUUGCAUAGGAAAACCUUGAGACCAGGAAGUCUGCGUUGUAUAAAAGCUAUCCAGAACAAAGACCUCGUGCUCAGACUCUGGAGGCAGCUCCUCUGAGCCCGCACUGGUGCCAAAUAAACCUGGCUAUUCCACAUCUCUGAGUACCGCUUAUCUCUUUCUGCUGCCACGGUUUCUGCAACACUCCCAGUAAUUCAUGUUGAUGGAUUGAACUAAGCGAAUUUCCAAGAUUGUAAAUUGCAGACUGUGGAGAUGACAGGAGCAGGAGUCCUUCUGUGGAGGUUGGGGUAGGAGCUAAUUAAAUAGAGGGGAGAUAGAGAAUGGGACCCUAGGAAGUCAUUCCUCCUUUCUGUGCUUGUAAAGAUAGGCUUGGGCAGAACAAAAGAGAAAAAGGUAAAAAGGGAAGAGAGCAAGACAGUUUGUGGUGUCUCACAGGGAGGAAAAACAGAUUUCAGUUUACCUAAAAAACCAAAGCCUUUCCUUGCUUUCCUUCCAGAUCACUCUCCUCCCACCCGCUGCCUCCCUGAGGGCUGUAACCUCGCCUGUUUUUUCCUUGUUGUUGCCUCCCAGCAGAAAUCUGUGAGUGUACUGGUCGCAUCAUCUGCAGGGAAGGACAUGGCUUACUCUUUGAGUAACUACUCUUCCUUGCAUGUAGUUGAACCUGGGAAGGGAAUGGUGCCAUAUGGAGGAGACUGUGCCCCUCUUGUCACCUAUAUGGUAGGGGAUCUGUAUUGAAUGUAGGGUACUGCAUUAUCUUGAUCUCAGGAGACAAAGAUACUCCUUAAACUGGAGUUAGCCUUACCUUAAAGGAUGAGAUCAUUUCUUUGACCAGCAAUCUCUUUCUUAUCAAAUGUCCUCUCUCUGGUCCACAACAGAAUAGGAAGCCCAUAGGGAACCUUCUGGUUUUAACUUGGGCUUUUGACGUUGCCUUUGAAGAAUAUCCUGGAGCUUGAUCCAGAACAGCCAAAUAUAAGAUGACAAUUCCCAUAAGGGGACCAGCCAGGAGCUGGGAGAGCAGGAACUUUGGCAAGGAGUCUGUGAUAUUAUUCCAGGCAGAGAGAGAAAACAAUACACUAAUUUUUUUUUUUUUCGAUCAAAGCAAACUGGAAAAUUUGGAACUGCACUGUUCUAAUUUGGAGUUCUUAGAAAAUAAUGGGCCUGGGAGUAUAGUCUGGGUGGCUUAAUUUGUUUCCAGCAAUACCUCUAAGGAAUGUUUCACACUGGUGGUUUAGUUUCUCUGCCCUGUGGCCCCAGCUACCUUUUUUUGUUUUCAUGCCUUUUGAUUCUCUUAUGUGUAACUGUUGUUUUUUGUUUUGUUUUGUUUUGUUUUGUUUUUUAAGGUGUAUGCAUCACUUAAAAAAAAAAAAACCUUAAUUUUUUUUUUUUUGUCUUUUUAGGGCCACACCCACGGCAUAUGGAAGUUCCCAGACUAGGGGUUGAAUCAGCACUGCAGCUGCCAGUCUAAGGUACAGCCACAGCCACAUGCUGGAUCUGAGCCUCAUCUUCGACCUAGGCCACAGCUCAUGGCAACGCCAGAUCCUUAACGCAGUGAGCAAGGCCAGGGAUCUAACCUGCAUCCUCAUGGAUACCAGUUGGGUUCGUUACUGCUGAGCCACAACGGUAACUCCCAAAUUAUUUUUUUUAUUAUGCCAAGAAAACAACAUGAGAUCUACCUUUCUGACAAGUUUUUGAGUGCACACUACUGUUAGCUAUGGGCAUGAAGUUGUACAGCAGAUCUCUAGAACCUUUUUUUGUGUUUGUGUAACUGAAACUUUGUACCAUUGAACAGCAGUUCCCCAUUUCUUCCUCCUCCAAGACCUGGCAACUACCAUUCUAUUCUGUUUCUAUGAAUUUACUAUUUUAGAUACCUCAUAUAAGUGGAAUCAUUCAGUAUUUCUCCAUCUGUGUCAGGGUGAUUGCAUUUAGCAUAAUUUCCUCCGGGUUCACCCAUGUUGUCACAUAUACCAGGAUUUCCUUCUUAUUUAAGGCUGAAUAAUAUUCCAUUGUAUGUAUAAACCACAUUUUCUUUAUCCAUUCAUCUAUCGUGGACAUUUAAAUUGUUUCUAUAUCUUGUCUGUUGUGACUAAUGCUGCAAUAAACAUGAGAGAACAGAUAGCUCUUUGAGAUCCUAAUUUCAACUAUUUUCACAAAUAGCCAGAAGUGGGGUUGCUGGAUCAUAUGGUAGCUCUAUUUUUAAAUUUUUGAGGAACUUCCAUAUUGUUUUCUAUGGCAGAUGCAUUAUUUUACAUUCCCACCCAUGGUGUACAAGGGUUCUCUUUUCUCUACAUCCUCACCAACAGUUGUUUAUCUUUUGUUUUCGUGAUCAUGGCCCUCCUAACAGGUGUGAGGUAAGUCUCACUGAGGUUUUAAUUUGCAUUUCCCUGAUGAUUUGUAUUUACCCUUCUAUUGCUAGUGCCUGGCAAUGCCCGGAACACAGCAGAUGUUCAAUAAAUAUUUGUCCAAACGAGUGAAUUAGUUAUAGGUAAAGUCAUGGUCAAUAUACACACAAAUGAAGAUUCAGAGUGAGGGUGGAGGUAAGUAGUCUUUAUGACACCAAAGCAAAAAGUCCUCCAGCUGAUGGAAUUUCUUCUGGUUUCAUAUUAGAAAGCUGCCAAAAAUGGCUGGGACUGGGGGACUUGAGUAAGUUCACCACAGCGGAAAGAGAGAAGUGUUUUUCGAAGGAGCAAAAUGUAAAUGUUUUGCACAAUCUUUUAAAAAUCAUUAUCUUAAAUAUUUGCAUUUUCUGAAUGUUUGUGCUCUGGAGCAAAGCCCAGGAAUGCUAUUUUUUUCAAUCCCUCCCAUCCUUCAAGGCUUGCCUCAAAGCAUUUAACUCUGUAGCUGUUUUCCCCAAAUCUCUCGUUUAUUCUAGCACAAAUUUUUUUUCAACAUAUGUUUGUGUCUCCAUCUUCCUUUGAACCCCCAUAGCUCUUUGCACUCUUCCUGCCCACCCGCCCUGUCCACCUUCUUCUCUGGUGACAGGUCUCUGCGUAUCUGAGCCUCCCC